rnacentral:rRNA from 1 species
AUACGGAGGAUGCAAGCGUUAUCCGGAUUUAUUGGGUUUAAAGGGUGCGUAGGCUGUUCGGAAAGUCAGGGGUGAAAGCCCGGCGCCUAACGCCGGAACUGCCUUUGAUACUUCCGAGCUGGAAUACGGAUGCCGUGGGAGGAAUGAGUAGUGUAGCGGUGAAAUGCAUAGAUAUUACUCAGAACACCGAUUGCGAAGGCAUCUCACGAAUCCGUCAUUGACGCUGAGGCACGAAAGCGUGGGGAUCAAACAGGAUUAGAUACCCUGGUAGUCCACGCAGUAAACGAUGAAUACUCGCUGUUUGCGAUAUACAGUAAGCGGCCAAGCGAAAGCAUUAAGUAUUCCACCUGGGGAGUACGCCGGCAACGGUGAAACUUAAAGGAAUUGACGGGG